UAUUAUGAGAGUUUGAUCCUGGCUCAGGACGAACGCUGGCGGCGUGCCUAAUACAUGCAAGUCGAACGCUUCUUUCCUCCCGAGUGCUUGCACUCAAUUGGAAAGAGGAGUGGCGGACGGGUGAGUAACACGUGGGUAACCUACCCAUCAGAGGGGGAUAACACUUGGAAACAGGUGCUAAUACCGCAUAACAGUUUAUGCCGCAUGGCAUAAGAGUGAAAGGCGCUUUCGGGUGUCGCUGAUGGAUGGACCCGCGGUGCAUUAGCUAGUUGGUGAGGUAACGGCUCACCAAGGCCACGAUGCAUAGCCGACCUGAGAGGGUGAUCGGCCACACUGGGACUGAGACACGGCCCAGACUCCUACGGGAGGCAGCAGUAGGGAAUCUUCGGCAAUGGACGAAAGUCUGACCGAGCAACGCCGCGUGAGUGAAGAAGGUUUUCGGAUCGUAAAACUCUGUUGUUAGAGAAGAACAAGGACGUUAGUAACUGAACGUCCCCUGACGGUAUCUAACCAGAAAGCCACGGCUAACUACGUGCCAGCAGCCGCGGUAAUACGUAGGUGGCAAGCGUUGUCCGGAUUUAUUGGGCGUAAAGCGAGCGCAGGCGGUUUCUUAAGUCUGAUGUGAAAGCCCCCGGCUCAACCGGGGAGGGUCAUUGGAAACUGGGAGACUUGAGUGCAGAAGAGGAGAGUGGAAUUCCAUGUGUAGCGGUGAAAUGCGUAGAUAUAUGGAGGAACACCAGUGGCGAAGGCGGCUCUCUGGUCUGUAACUGACGCUGAGGCUCGAAAGCGUGGGGAGCAAACAGGAUUAGAU
rnacentral:rRNA from 1 species